rnacentral:rRNA from 1 species
CCAGACUCCUACGGGAGGCAGCAGUGGGGAAUAUUGCACAAUGGGGGAAACCCUGAUGCAGCAACGCCGCGUGAGUGAAGAAGUAUUUCGGUAUGUAAAGCUCUAUCAGCAGGGAAGAGAAUGACGGUACCUGACUAAGAAGCCCCGGCUAACUACGUGCCAGCAGCCGCGGUAAUACGUAGGGGGCGAGCGUUAUCCGGAUUCACUGGGUGUAAAGGGAGCGUAGACGGCCAUGCAAGCCAGGGGUGAAAGCCCGGGGCCCAACCCCGGGACUGCCCUUGGAACUGCAUGGCUGGAGUGCGGGAGGGGCAGGCGGAAUUCCUGGUGUAGCGGUGAAAUGCGUAGAUAUCAGGAGGAACACCGGCGGCGUAAGCGCUUUACUGGGCCGUAAUUGACGCUGAGGAACGAAAGCCAGGGUAGCAAAUGGGAUUAGAUACCCCAGUA